rnacentral:misc_RNA from 1 species
AAGACUAUAGACCUGCGGAGUACCUGCGGAAGGAUCAUUAAUGAAUUUUAGGACGUUCUUUUUAGAAGUCCGACCAUUUCAUUUUCUUACACUGUGCACACACUUCUUAUUACACACACUUUUAACACAUUAGUAUAAGAAUGUAAUAGUCUCUUAAUUGAGCAUAAACAAAAAUAAAACUUUCAACAACGGAUCUCU